UAUGGCUACUGGGUGUAAAAGAUAAAUCUUAUUCUAUCUGUUCUUAAUGAGUUUUAGAUAAUUUUAGUUGUAUUUCUUUGUAAUUUUGUGUUGUACAAAGAUUAAUUUAACAUUUUCUCUGGAAGUAUUAAUUUAGAAAGAUAAUAUGCUUCAUUGGUGUUGUGUUUUGAAGUGUGAAAUGUGAUAAAGUCAAGAUAAAGUUCACUUUUAAACUGAACUAAAUAAGGUAUCUGAGAGACAACAAUGGUUAAAUGCAAUACAAUGUACAGGUUUUACUAGCGAAAUGAAAAUUUUCCUGUCCUGUCUGCUGUAAUCAUUUUAUAUCUGGAAAACCAGCCGACUUAAUAGAUAAUAACAAUCUCCAGAUUGGGUUCCUUCAAUAAAUAUGGUCUAUAAACACAAUGAAAUAAGUUCCCCAAAAUCUAAAAUGGAGUGGUAUCAAAGGAGAAUUAAAGGGAAAAAUAUUCAUAUUGAAAUUAUUUAUAAGGCACUGGACUGUCUUAAAUUCUACAAUAAUACUAGAAUCAGCUGAGAGAAGUGGUCUACAAAAAACCAGGAAGGAAACGGAAUAUGUGGCUACGAAAGGCAAAAGAAAUGUUUACAAAGCAAAUGUGACACAUUUUUUUGAAAUAUUUAGGAAUAUCAGUAAAUUGCAUUAAAAAAAUGUAUGAAAAGAUUUGUUCAAUAAAAAUGUUUAUAUUUA
rnacentral:lncRNA from 1 species